rnacentral:misc_RNA from 1 species
GAUGAAGAACGCAGUGAAAUGCGAUACUUGGUGUGAAUUGCAGAAUCCCGUGAACCAUCGAGUCUUUGAACGCAAGUUGCGCCCGAAGCCAUUAGGCCGAGGGCACGCCUGCCUGGGCGUCACACGUCGUUGCCCCCCCAUCUACUCCUUCGGGAUUGCGGGGGGCGGAUGAUGGUCUCCCGUGCGCCUCGCCGCGCGGUUGGCAUAAAUGCCAAGUCCUCGGCGACGCACGCCACGACAAUCGGUGGUUGCGAAACCUCGGUUGCCCGUCGUGUGCGGUCGUCGCGCAUCGAGGGCUCGAAAAAAUUGCCGGGUUCCGGCUCGGCUUUCAACGCGACCCCAGGUCAGGCGGGGUUACCCGCUGAAUUUAAGCAUAUCAAUAAGCGGAGGA